AUUUUAGUUAGUCAGUAUUAACAUUAUGGAAUUAACAAUCUUGGUGUGUUUCAUAUUGUCAUUCUCUGCAUGCAUUUCAUCCAGUCAUACUAUUACUGAAUCUGGUGGUGAUGUUAAGAGGCCUGGGGAGUCCAUAAAACUGACUUGUACAGUGUCUGGAUUUUCUGUAGCAGAGGCGUACAUGGACUGGAUCCGUCAACGUCCAGGCAAGGGACUGGAAUGGGUUGGACGUAUUGCAAAAAGUGGGACUGUAUAUUAUAAUAGUAUUUUGCAAAAUCGGUUAACCCUCACAAGUGAUACCUCCAAAAAUCAGGUAUUUGUCCAACUCAAUGGUCUAAAACCUGAAGACACUGCCUUGUAUUUCUGCGUAAAUAACACACAGUGA